GGGGCUAUAGCUCAGUGGUAGAGCACCCGCCUCACACGUGUGACGCACUGGCUUUGAUCCUCAGCCCCA
rnacentral:tRNA from 1 species